GUGCUGGUGCAUCGAACUGCUUUCCUCACGUUUGAUCAGUCAUUGCUCCGCGUUCAAACGUCGGAUGCAAAGCGGGGGGGGUUCCUGUGUUGCCUACCUAUCGAGAUGGAAAUCGGUUGCCUUGGUUGUGCCUUUCGUCCUCGCGUCCUCUUGGACGUUCGGAUGGACUAGAUGGAAGCGCUCGUGCUCCACGGACGUCUCACACGAUCGUUCCGAUGGACCACGAGCGCCUUCUCGCUCUCUCGGAAGCGGAAAGUCCCUCAUGGGCGUGGGUCAUUGGCCCUCGGUCCCGAAUCUGUAAGCGAUCAUCGCUUUACAUCGGAAUGACGCUCUUGCCUCGUCUUCGACCACGCGGAGCUCCUUGUCUCCCGUGAUGGAUCGUGCGGGGCGGACGUCGUGAAGGAAUGC
rnacentral:misc_RNA from 1 species